GUGUAGCUCAGUGGUAGAGCACUUGCUUAAUAUGCAUGAGACCCUGGGUUUGAUCCCUAUCAC
rnacentral:tRNA from 1 species